rnacentral:rRNA from 1 species
UACGGAGGGUGCAAGCGUUUAAUCGGAAUUACUGGGCGUAAAGCGCGCGUAGGCGGUUUGAUAAGUCGAUUGUGAAAUCCCCGGGCUCAACCUGGGAAUUGACAGUCGAGACUGUCAGACUAGAGUGGUGGGAGAGGGUGGUGGAAUUCCCGGUGUAGCGGUGAAAUGCGUAGAUAUCGGGAGGAACAUCAGUGGCGAAGGCGACCGCCUGGCCCAACACUGACGCUGAGGUGCGAAAGCGUGGGUAGCAAACGAGG